ensembl:rRNA 5S_rRNA 5S ribosomal RNA
AUCUACGGCCAUGCCACACUGAACAAGCCUGAUCCUGUCUGAUCUCGGAAGCUAAGCAAGGUCGGGCCUGGUUAGUACUUGGUUAGGAAACCACCUAGGAAGACCAGAUGCUGCAGGCA